UGGAUAACCGUGGUAAUUCUAGAGCUAAUACAUGCUAAAAAUCCCGACUUUGGAAGGGAUGUAUUUAUUAGAUUAAAAACCAAUGCCCUUCGGGGCUCUCUGGUGAUUCAUGAUAACUUCUCGAAUCGCAUGGCCUUGCGCCGGCGAUGGUUCAUUCAAAUUUCUUCCCUAUCAACUUUCGAUGUUUGGGUAUUGGCCAAACAUGGUUGCAACGGGUAACGGAGGGUUAGGGCUCGACCCCGGAGAAGGAGCCUGAGAAACGGCUACUACAUCCAAGGAAGGCAGCAGGCGCGCAAAUUACCCAAUCCCGACACGGGGAGGUAGUGACAAUAAAUACUGAUACAGGGCUCUUUUGGGUCUUGUAAUUGGAAUGAGUACAAUUUAAACCCCUUAACGAGGAACAAUUGGAGGGCAAGUCUGGUGCCAGCAGCCGCGGUAAUUCCAGCUCCAAUAGCGUAUAUUAAAGUUGUUGUGGUUAAAAAGCUCGUAGUUGAACCUUGGGCCUGGCUGGCCGGUCCGCCUCACCGCGUGUACUGGUCCGGCCGGGCCUUUCCCUCUGUGGAACCCCAUGCCCUUCACUGGGUGUGGUGGGGAAACAGGACUUUUACUUUGAAAAAAUUAGAGUGCUCCAGGCAGGCCUAUGCUCGAAUACAUUAGCAUGGAAUAAUAGAAUAGGACGUGUGGUUCUAUUUUGUUGGUUUCUAGGACCGCCGUAAUGAUUAAUAGGGACAGUCGGGGGCAUCAGUAUUCAAUUGUCAGAGGUGAAAUUCUUGGAUUUAUUGAAGACUAACUACUGCGAAAGCAUUUGCCAAGGAUGUUUUCAUUAAUCAGGAACGAAAGUUAGGGGAUCGAAGACGAUCAG
rnacentral:rRNA from 1 species